rnacentral:lncRNA from 1 species
CGUGCGUGCGUGUGUGUGUGUGUGUGUGUAUUUGAUGAUUGACUAGCCAAGUUUACAUGCAUAUAUCUGAAUAUUAAUGACCUUAUUUCUGAUAGCAUAGAGUUUUGAAUGAGUGCUUUGUUUCACGCUUCUCUUGAAUAAGAGAAACAGAGACAUGAUAAUGUAAGGAUCGAGGAGGUAUGCACAUGAAUUAAUUUUCAAAUAGAUAUCAUCGCUUUAAAUGGAACAUCUUGAAGCUUUCCUUCCCCACUAUAAAAACUGAGCGAGAUUUAUCUCAAUAAUGUUUCAGUUAUAAAAAACAAGAGAAACUAUCUGUGCAUACAAGUGUUUUAGAAGCUACAAUAUAGUAGUGGUCAGGAUAUAGGUUCCAUUUGUUUCAUCCAUCAUUAUAUAGUGUAAUUUCUGUGGAUUGAUACUAGUGACCACAAUGCACAUGCAAUACACUGGAAAACACUAAUACAAUUAUUGUUCACUCGGUUCGAUUGGUAAGUUUACCUUCUAUUAUAAUACAAGCAGUCUCCAGUAUAUGAUUUUGUUCAAAUGUCCAUUGUCGAAACCUAAACAGUAAGAAACCAGCAUGUAACCUGUUAGUCAUAAAUUCUGCAAGGUGUAAAAUUGAUAAUAUAGGUUCCAACAAAAACAACAAAAUUGUAGAAUGACAUAUCAACAUGUCAGUUAAGGGUUUAAAAAUAGCACAAAUUGGAGUAAAAUGUCCAUAUCGUGUAGUUCACAUUAGAAAACAACAAAACAAGUUAUUUCUCAACUUAUCUCAGCAAAGAAAUAAGUAAUGACUAAUGACAUGUAUAUUGUGUAGGGGCAGAGUUGAUAUGCUGCACUGUACCCAUAUGACUCUUGACCAACUGUUAUUUACCAUGUUCAGACAAAAUUCAGACACGCUUCUUUGCAGUUUCAUCUCUCUAUUGUCGGAUCGAUCUAAAGACACUAAAAGGAUAGGUAAAGAAUCAUUGUUUGCUAAUAAUCAAACAACUAUGAUCUAGGAAAGAUGUGUAGUUCUAUUGCAAACUGAGUAACUGAUGGACAUGGGUCUGAGAGAAUUCAAGAUAAACAGAGACAUGCAUAUAGUUGCACAUCAAAUUCGAAGAAAACGGGAAGGACUCACUGAUUCGAGGUAGUGGUCAAAGGGCGCAGCCGCUGGGAGAAACGCAAGACAGCGGGCAGAGAGCACCACCACUUGGGAGGAACGUGUAGUCACCACCAAGAAGAACGAGCCUCUGCCCGGAGCG